UCUAAGUAUAAGCAAUUAUACAGCGAAACUGCGAAUGGCUCAUUAAAUCAGUUAUCGUUUAUUUGAUAGUGCCCAUCUACAUGGAUAACCGUGGUAAUUCUAGAGCUAAUACAUGCGUAAAAGCGCGACUUCGGGAGCGCUGUAUUUAUUAGAUUAAAGACCAAUGCCCUUCGGGGCUCACUGGUGAUUCAUGAUAACUCCUCUGAUCGCACGGCCUUGCGCCGGCGACGGCUCAUUCAAAUUUCUGCCCUAUCAACUUUCGACUUUAGUGUAGUGGACUAAAGUGGUUGCAACGGGUAACGGAGGGUUAGGGCUCGACCCCGGAGAAGGAGCCUGAGAAACGGCUACUACAUCCAAGGAAGGCAGCAGGCGCGCAAAUUACCCAAUCCCGACACGGGGAGGUAGUGACAAUAAAUACUGAUACAGGGCUCUUUCGGGUCUUGUAAUCGGAAUGAGUACAAUCUAAAUCCUUUAACGAGGAGCAAUUGGAGGGCAAGUCUGGUGCCAGCAGCCGCGGUAAUUCCAGCUCCAAUAGCGUAUAUUAAAGUUGUUGUGGUUAAAAAGCUCGUAGUUGAACCUUGGGCCCGUCCGGCCGGUCCGCCUCACCGCGUGCACUGGUUCGGGAG
rnacentral:rRNA from 1 species